GAGCCACUACAGUGGCGCCUGAACAUGACGUUAUCAUGUUAUAAAAGGCGCGCUCUUUCUUCAUCACAUCCUCUUUCCGUUGCUCUUCUCGCUUUGAGAAACCUCUCCCCACGAUGAGAGCCAAGUGGAGGAAGAAGCGUAUGCGCAGGCUGAAGCGUAAAAGGAGAAAGAUGAGGCAGAGGUCAAAGUAAGCCCUCAUCCCUGCCAGCUGCGUGUCCCGUCUGAGCCUCUCCAGAUGACUGACGCAUGUUGCUGAGGUGGAUCGCUGUGAGCUUCCCUCAGCCAGGCCUAACCCUGAUUUCAAAUCGCCGCCGAGAUGGGCCCACUGUGGACGUCUGAUCGGAAGAUGGCAAAGACGCUGGACGACGUGUCAACAUCAGAACUGCAGCUGCUGUGUUCAUGGACCAUAAUACAUCUUGUCUUCUUACAACUGUCAUGUGGUGUAUUGAACAAUAAACACUGUUAAAAUACCAUAA